UACGUAGGGGGCAAGCGUUAUCCGGAUUUACUGGGUGUAAAGGGAGCGUAGGUGGUUCGGUAAGUCAGGUGUGAAAGCCCGGGGCUCAACUCCGGGAUUGCACUUGAAACUAUCGAACUAGAGUGCAGGAGAGGUAAGUGGAAUUCCUAGUGUAGCGGUGAAAUGCGUAGAUAUUAGGAGGAACACCAGUGGCGAAGGCGGCUUACUGGACUGUAACUGACACUGAGGCUCGAAAGCGUGGGGAGCAAACAGGAUUAGAUACCCUGGUAGUCCACGCGGUAAACGAUGAAUACUAGGUGUCGGGGGUCAAACGACCUUCGGUGCCGUCGCAAACGCAAUAAGUAUUCCACCUGGGGAGUACGUUCGCAAGAAUGAA
rnacentral:rRNA from 1 species